GAUGAAGAACGCAGUGAAAUGCGAUAAGUAAUGUGAAUUGCAGAAUUCAGUGAAUCAUCGAAUCUUUGAACGCACAUUGCGCCCCCUGGUAUUCCGGGGGGGCAUGCCUGUUCGAGCGUCAUUUCAACCCUCAAGCUCUGCUUGGUAUUGAGUCCAUGUCAGCAAUGGCAGGCUCCAAAAUCAGUGGCGGCGCCGCUGGGUCCUGAACGUAGUAAUAUCUCUCGUUACAGGUGCUCGGCGUGCUUCUGCCAAAACCCCAAUUUUUCUAUGGUUGACCUCGGAUCAGGUAGGGAUACCCGCUGAACUUAAGCAUAUCAAUAAGCGGAGGA
rnacentral:misc_RNA from 1 species